rnacentral:rRNA from 1 species
GCUCAGUAACACGUGGAUAACCUGCCCUUGGGACCGGGAUAACCCCGGGAAACUGGGGAUAAUACCGGAUAACGCAUAUCUGCUGGAAUGCUUUAUGCGUAAAAUGGAUUUGUCUGCCCAAGGAUGGGUCUGCGGCCUAUCAGGUAGUAGUGGGUGUAAUGUACCUACUAGCCUACGACGGGUACGGGUUGUGAGAGCAAGAGCCCGGAGAUGGAUUCUGAGACAUGAAUCCAGGCCCUACGGGGCGCAGCAGGCGCGAAAACUUUACAAUGCGGGAAACCGUGAUAAGGGGAUACCGAGUGCCAGCAUCAUAUGUUGGCUGUCCAGAUGUGUAAAAUACAUCUGUUAGCAAGGGCCGGGCAAGACCGGUGCCAGCCGCCGCGGUAACACCGGCGGCCCGAGUGGUGAUCGUGAUUAUUGGGUCUAAAGGGUCCGUAGCCGGUUGGUCAGUCCUCCGGGAAUCUGACGGCUCACCGUUAGGCUUUCGGUGGAUACUGCCAGACUUGGAACCGGGAGAGGUAAGAGGUACUACAGGGGUAGGAGUGAAAUCUUGUAAUCCCUGUGAGACCACCUGUGGCGAAGGCGUCUUACCAGAACGGGUUCGACGGUGAGGGACGAAAGCUGGGAGCACGAACCGGAUUAGAUACCCGGGUAGUCCCAGCCGUAAACGAUGCUCGCUAGGUGUCAGGCAUGGCGCGACCGUGUCUGGUGCCGCAGGGAAGCCGUGAAGCGAGCCACCUGGGAAGUACGGCCGCAAGGCUGAAACUUAAAGGAAUUGGCGGGGGAGCAC